AUAGAGCAGUAACAUGUAUUUAUUAAAAAAAAAGACAAACGGAGUAAUUCCGAAAAUGCCAUGGCGUCAUGCGUGGGCGCAGGAUGAGUAAAACCGUUCUAAAUUUCCGGGCCGUCUGAAAAUCGAAAAAAUUCCAUCGACUCUUACCUGUAGGACCUGUUCAUCCGUUGCGUCAGCAUUGAAAACAGGACAAUACCGUCUGCUUCCGGAUAUUUCAACACCAUAAUAGGUCGCUGUGACAUCGGGGCAACUGCGAAAUUUCGAACGGACUACAUUUGGAAAGAAAGAAAUUUUGACAAUAGGCGUACGUCAAGUUUAUCGUGUACUCCUGCGAUUAUCGUUCGAAAUAAAGGGCCACAACUUCCCGAUUCACUUUUCGGAAAAAACUAGCGUCAAGCAAGCGGCACCGAUUACGUACUAUUCUCACCAUCGUGUAGAGGCGACAGCAUGGGCAUGGGGGAGGCCGUUUGCCCCUGGGUCUUGUCUUUCAGUGCUGUUAUGUUGGAUUUUUUUGAUCGCUGCACCGAGACUGAGCCACGUAAGCGUCGCGGCGCGAAUCGAUGUCGUCGAACCGGCGCAAUGCCACGGACAUAUCGAUCAGCACAAUGCAAUGCGACAAUUAUUUUUAUCGCGAACGCCACUGUUCUCGCCCGUUCAAUGGUGAAAUUAUGUUAGCACGCCCCCGACAUCAUUUUCCGCACCUUCGAACGCGCAUUUUUAGACCUUUGAAAUUUCUAGAACGUAAUCGCGACCAUGUGAAAAUUAGUUUCGAUUAAAACAUGAAAAUUAUCACGGGACGGCAUAUGUACUUUUGGUAAAUACGGUUCAUGCAAAUUGCGUCAUCCGUUCGUAAUUUAAAAAUCGUGCAAUUACGUUGUUUCCAUGCGAUAAAUUUAAGUGGACGAUAAAGUAAUACUCACCUUUGUGGCUUACUAAAGUCAUAUAAGAUGGUAGCGCCCUUCUGGACGAGACCUCCCACACAAGCAAAAACAAAAUAAAACGUCGUUCCCAAAGAUACGAGUGGAAAAAUUCUGCACGCUUGGAAUUACUGAAAAAGAAAAGGAUCAAUCAGUUAUUUCGCCGACGAGUAUUUUUAGCAACAUAAAAUAAUAAUAAAAAUAUAUGGACGGAGCUAGUAACGUGAUCUCACCUUCUAUUUGAAGCGUUUUCCACGUACCAUCUAUUAUCGAAUUAACGUUCAAAUAGCAAAAAUAUCUUACGUUAAACUACUAUUCUAAAUGAAAGGCCAAUUUUAUGGAAUAAAGUGACUGAAUUUUAA